ACCCUCUCCUUCCCUCGCCGCCGGCAGGUAAGGCUAGCCACGCCAACGCCGUCGCCCUGCCCACCAUGCUCCGGCCGAGCUUGAGCUAGAGCUCGGAGUAGCUCGUCGCCGCGCCUCCGACCCCAUCGGCCACCGUGGAGAGGAACUCCAAGUACCUCACCGUCUCCUACCUCGAUGCACCCGACGCCACGGCCCCUGGAUCUACCUCCCCGUCGUCCUCUGCUUCCAUCUUCUUCUCGGUCAGGACCGCGCCAAGGUUCAGAGGUCGACUGCGUCGCCGUAGGCUCGUCUCCGUCACCGUCUUCUUGUCCUAGGAGCCGGGAGACGAGUACGUGAAUGAGGAACCUGUUGAGAACGCUUACGAGGAUCAAGCUUUCGACAACUCUGAGAACUUUGCAGGCAAGAUGACCAUACCCUCGAAAUCACUUCCAUCUUUGCUUGCUAGUUGUUCGCUCUAUUGCUUUGCCGCGCUACCUUCCACUUGCUAUAUCAUGCCUUCCAUAUUGCCAUGUCAAGCCUCUAACCCACCUUUCCUAGCAAACCGUUGUUUGGCUAUGUUACCGCUUUUGCUCAGCCCCUCUUAUAGCGUUGCUAGUUGCAGGUGAAGAUGAAGUUUGUUCCUUGUUGGAACAUGGAUAUUGUUGGGAUAUCAUUGUUAUCUCUUAUUUACUUUAAUGCAUCUAUAUACUUGGUAAAGGGUGGAAGGCUCGGCCUUAUGCCUGGUGUUUUGUUCCACUCUUGCCGCCCUAGUUUCCGUCAUAC